AUGGAGCUUUCGGACUUCUGGUUGACAUGGAUUGCCAUUCUUCUGGGUCAAAUGGACACAAGGCCGUGUUCAGUUUUAGCUUGCCUGGCUCUUUUGUAUGUGAUUUACAAAUCAGCUUCCAGGCCUAUCAGACUUGUCGGGAGCUAUUUGGUUGCCUUGUCUGUCUCUGUCUGGAGCUAUUUGGUUGCCUUGUUUGUCUUUGUUCUCCCCUUCUUCAUGGACUGCACCAGAGGAUUAUUGUGGCUCAUGUGGUUAUGUGUUAUGAUGGGUGGUGGCAAAAAGUGCUGGUAUCAUUUUGUGAUUCCAACGAUUGCUAUGGCUGUUCAUUUCCUACGUAUUGUUCCUCCUAUUGCGCUGUCGCUUCUGCCUUCCUGUGUGCUUAAUGCUAUUACUUAUUGGAUAACUGGAGGAAUGUCAGUUGGAUAUUAUGCUACAAGUCCGUUGACAAAGAUAGUUCCAAAGCGUCACAAACAUAACACAUGUAUUUGCACAAAAGAAGGUGUCAUUCUUUGGAGUGGGUUCAUCAAAUGCUUAUUGAAAACCUAUGACAACCAAAAGAGCUGGGCGGGAGAGUUUGAGCUAAAUGAUUUAAGAGUGUAUGAUACAGUUUCCAGAAUCGAAACAACUCCUCUUUAUGAGGCUCAUUUUGCUAAUCUGCUUCUUGACUUGUCAAAAAUGGCAAAGUUACUAUCAGGUCUCCAUAUGAGUAAUAUUCAGAAUCCAGGUCAGCUUCCGCUGAAUGUGAAACAGCUGAUUGCUCUUAUGACCGAGCCUCCAGUUAGUGUGAAUUCCCCAGAGGAAGAAAAGAAAGUGUAUCUUAAGUAUCUCUGCAACAAUCCCGCUGUUAAAUUGACUGGACGACGCGAGGCUCUGAACAGAAGUAUCUUGAACUUAAGACAAGCAGGUGCAGGCCACAAUGCUUCUGCCGAUGCUUUGACAACUUGGUUGAGCGUCCUGAUGAACUCCACUGGCUGGGCACUUGGUGCUUUAUGGGCUGCUGCUUUGUUGGGAUUAGUGGACGGAUUGUCUGUCCCUUGUUUAGUGUUGGUGUAUCCCUUUUUACAUCAAAUCUACAAAUCAGCAGCUGUCUUGACUGUAAGAAGUGCUGGGCAAUCAGAUGCAUUUAAGUGGCUGACAUAUUUAAUAAUGGAAAUGGGAGUUCUGAUGGACAACAAUGAAAGGUUUGGUGAUGUAUUGUUGGUUUGCAGCUCUAUGGUGGCAAUGGCCAUGAAAGUGGUUGUAUUCUGCUUGGCCUGCCUUGCGAUUCCAUUUGGUCGUGUAUUCACAGUGUUAUGCCCCUUUGGUCGUGUAGACACAGUGUUAUGCUCAGUGUUGCCUUUGCCAGUACUUGUGUACUUGAUUUAUAUAUCAGCCCCCAUGUUCAUCAAAGUCGUGGGACGGGGCAUCCAAGUUGCAGGAUGGGGCAUCCAAAUUGCUGGAGGCUUGGCCGCAUCACGUAUUGGAGGCCCAGUUAUCUUGCACGCUUAA
rnacentral:rRNA from 1 species